GCCCCGGCGGCCCCGCUCCCCCCGCUCCCCGCCCGCGGUACUCGCCUGGCGCAUCAUCAUCCCCGCGGCUCCCGGCCCGUUCCCGGGGGGCCGCAGCGGCUGCCGGGGCCGCAUCGAGCUGGGGCGGAGCGGGGGAGGCGGAGGGGCCUCCCCGGGCUCCCUGCGGAGGAGGCGGCAGCGGGGCCAAGGUCACCCCGCACCGACUACAACUCCCAGGAGGCAGCGAGUCCCCGAGGGGGGGUCGGGGGCAGUGGAUGAAGGGCGAGGGGUUCGCCCCAGAGCCCCCCUUCCACCCUCACCGAGCUGCCUUCUCCCGGAAUUUUCCUCUUCUUCCCCGGCGGACCUGGGAUGUCCCGUCCCAGGGGAUGGCAGUGAAGUCUCUGAAAAUCCGGCACAAAUAGACACAGAUCUAUUUCGGGAUUUUCCUCGCUUAAACAAAAAAAAAAUAGGCAGCAGGAGGAGAAAUUAAUGUUUAAAGGUUGGGUUUAAAAUGCUGCCUGUUCCUUCCAGGUCUGCAGCCACUGCGUGUGUCACUGCACAUCUCCAGGACCACCUUCCAGGACCUCCACAGUCAUUAAUGGGUAUUAUUCUCACUCCCUUUUAGGAAGUGGUGGGAUAAUCAUUCCCCAUUUAACGGCUGGGAAACUUGGCACAGCACAGAUUAAGUGAUUUGCUGACAGGCACACAAGAAAAUUGCGCUAGUCAAGCGUUCUCCCAAUUAUGCCAUCCUUGGAACUGCAUAAUUUCCCUGCGUGAUUCCAGACACGGCUCAUACUCCCUGGGCAGGGCUUCGUGGCUAAAAACCAGCCAGCACCCAUGGCAGGAUGGGGCUCACAAGUCUGUGUCCUCGGCGUGGGGGUCCACGGGGCACAAAACCAGGGUCACUCAGUCACCCAGGAUGUGCUGGGGGGACACGAGAGGCCUGGGGAGGUGGAGGGAUGCUCAGCUGCCCUGGGGGUGCUUCACAGACCCUCCCCAGUGCUCCCCAAAUCCUGCUUCGCCUUCGCGACCUGCGCAGAGCCGGCAGGAUUCCGCAGCCCAGUGGAAAUUCCCCAGCGGUGCCAGCACCGGGGGCCUCCAGGGACCAGCAAAACGUCCCUGGACCCGGCCAGGAGCUGGGGCGCUGCCAUCUCGGUGCAGCAUUCCGGCCGCAGGGAGCCCGCGGGGAAGGAUCCUCUGGAGCCGGGAGGCCGGUGGGGAGCAGGGAUGGGGCUGCACCUGCCCCCCGCUCAUUCCCUGCCCUCGCCUCGCCACCCGCGAGCUUUUCCAGGCUCCCCUGCCCUCAUUCCGAUGGGCCCUGCCUGCCCAGCCUCCUAAUCUGCGCUAAGUGGGACUGCCGAUGAACGAUGUGAUAAAUUUAGAAAGAAAUCUUUGUGUGGGUCAGAGGAAAAACACGGCGGCCCGGGGAAUCCGAGCUGCAGCGACGCGCUCUGAUUUCCCUCUGCUCCCGGCAGGAUUUAACGCUGGAGUUUCUCACUGCUGGAAGCAGGAGGGAUCCAGAGGGUUUAGAGCUGGGCUGUACUCUGCUGGAGCUUAUAAACCAAGGAUGCCUCGGGUUAAAAUAAUGAUUUUUAAACUAACAUAAGUGAAAAAGGAGCGGGAGGGUGGCUGUGCUGCCCCAGCUCCGACCGCGACCUGACAUUUCAGCCCGAGCCUCUUAAAGAGCAAGUUUACCUUCCCCAGGACUUGUUUAUACGCGAAAGGAGGGAUUUAAUUCCUCGUUCGGGCUCCUGCCCGCACACCACAGCCACGCUGCUCCUUCCCGAUCGCUUUUGUUAAUCUCUUAAAUUGUUUUAAAACAACAACAACAAAAUAAUAGUAUUAGCGGUGCAAAAUCCCCCGUGAAAUCACCAAUCCAGCCCCACUUUCCUUGUCGAAAGUCUGAGCAGUUUCAAACUGUUUUAUCAUUUGCUGGUAAAUUAUAUUGUACCAAGGCAAGGAAAGGAAAAGAAUUCUCUGAAUGUAUUUCCUUUAAUAAGCUAUUAAGACCUUGUACUGCUAAUUAAACUAUUAAUUAGACGUCUUAUCAUUCCUAAACACGUUAGCAUGUUGCCAAAGCAGCAAUAAGCCUCUGGGGCAGGAAGAAGAUAAGGAAAGAAGGAAGAUGCAAACAAGAAGAUUAAAAAAAAUAUGAAGAAACCUCCCCUCCCCCCCAAUAACCAGAAAUAGCAAAUAAAUAACUAAGGGUCAGUAGAGUUACAUAUUGCUUAAUUUAUAGGAAUAAAAAAGUAUGUAACUUGAAAAUAAAUUUUCUUCAUAAAAGGGCCCUUGGGACAUCUGUGUCUAAUGCAGGAAAAAAAGUGAUAGGAGUUUUCAGACCUUUUUUUCUGCACUCAGAGGAGUGGAACCAGGAGUGAAACUCCUUUUCUCCCAACACCAUAAGGGUUUGCAACACAAGCACAUUAAAAUGUUUUUAGAGCCCAAUUCCUCAGCAUUUGCCUUUGACAGUUCAUCUCAAGGGAUGGAUAAUCUCAUUUAUGUCUGUUACUGCAAAUCAAAACACCAGCAAAUUAAAUAGAUCUGAAGGCUAAGAUUAAAGACUCAGAAUUAAAACACACGUGAAGUGCCUGUAAUGCAAAUAAUUGUAAAUAUAAUUUUUUUCUGGGUGAUGGAAAAGCCCUACCCAGAUGCUGUUCCAUUUACCUUGAAAGCAAAGACAGAAUCAGAGAAUCAUGGAAGCAUUAAGGUUGGAUAAGCCCUCUAAGAUCAUCAAGUCCAACCACUGCCAGGUCCAACCACUGAAAUAUCCAGCUGGUGCAGAUAUGGAUUUCACACGGUGCUGGUUUCUUUCCUAUGGUUAGAAAAGGAAAGAAAAGGAAAUGAGCUCGAGCAUCACCUUUUACCAGAGCCAAGAGAUGCUUUUAUGUCCAUCUGAUGAUGACUGAGCUUGUGGCUGGCCCAAAACUGGGGUCCAGUGGGCCUGACUGGAGGAAGCUGAGGGCACUGCUGGUCCCCUCCAGCCACAGGGAUGUGCCCUGGCUCCACGGGUGCUGCUUCACCAGCUGCUUCCCCAUCAACCACCUGAGCUGGAACACAGGAUGUCACCAAAGCCCACCUGGUCUCGGACCAAAACUCCUCCAUGUCCCGGCAGCAGAUGGUGCAGCGACUACUGGGGAACUCCCACGCGAGGUUUUUUGCAGGAUCCAGCACUGAACAAGCAGAUGGAAAAUGAAUUGAUGUGAAACCCAUGCUAGAAAUUCCAUUGUAGACGUUCCCCAUUCCUAGAAUACACACUUUAAAGCCCA